GUUAGCGUUACCGCUGAUCGUUAUCUUAGAUCUAAAUUCUAAUUCAAUUACUAUUAUCUACCUAAAUAAAUAAACUUAAAUAAUAAUAUAUCUAAAUCUACGUAAACUACCUAACUAAAUAACUUAAUUAAAUAAUUCAUAUUGUUCUACACUAAUAAAAUAAAUAAAAUAAUAAAUCUACAAGCAAACCCGCGCGAAACAAGUUGUUCAAUAUUUCUUUUGUUCUCUGUCGAGCGGGCGGACUGUUUUUUAUGCAUGCGCAAGCGACGCGCCUACGGCCGCGAUGCUCCCGCCGCGUCUCCUAGUCCGAGCCAGAGCGUUAGUGAGCACGGACGUAUCGCUGUCCGUCCCCGCCGGACCCGCGAUGUAUAUAAUAUCUUAAAAACUAAAUAUGUAAUCGCGAAUUGGUGAACCCCGCUACCGGGGUUCAUCUUCACCUUCAUCUUCUACGCCUACCUACUACACCAUGCAUGGUCACCACUGCCGAAACUACCACCUGGGUCUUCAACCCGGCAGAGCUGCCUGCCGUGUCGGACGGCCCGUGCGCACAUUCUAAGUGGCCCUACCCCACAGUGCGUACGGCCCUAACCGUCUGGCGCGUCGACGACUCUGCGGGCUUACCACCAGCGAAGAACCAACCCACAUCACCAUCGAUGCUAGCGAGGACAGUGGUUUGAAUAUACUACCACCGGUGACGAAUCUCGUGCGAUAUGAUAGUUUGCUCGACAACCCACUCCCUAAGAGUUCUCACUACUUUAAACUAAAUUGUAAUAAAUGACUUGUUAACUUAAAUCUAUCUUUUAUUUAUCUAAACUAAAUCUAAAUUCUAUUAUGUCACUGCUCCUAAAGCUCUAACCGUGACAUUGGCGCCCAUACCGGUCUAUUCUAUCGCACUUGAGACGUUACCAGUGAGUUUUACUUGUAAUAAAUGGUUAUUCUUGGUGUUGGCAUUCAAAUAACUUAGUUCUAAGAUAGUAACUAAUAUUGUAAUCUCUGUGUGGUAGUACUAAACUUGUAAUUUUUUGUGGAGAAUAGCUACACUAUUCUACCUACUAUAAUUUUCUUAAAUAUAAAAUGUAUCUACCUACAUUUUAUAAUAUUAACUAAAUUCUACCUACCUUUGGUAAUAUUAUUUAACUUUUAUUCACUACCUACCACACAUGGAUUUUACUUUUGUCAAAGUUUGUAAUGCUUACUGUCUUAUUGUGUAAAUUGCAACACACACCCGCGCGCCUACCUAGUAUUUUUUUUUUAUAUUACGUACUCGGUAAUUCUAAUCUAAAAUAUAAAUUAAACUUGUAACUGAAAACGUUACUUCUAAUUAAACUAUUAAAUAAAAUAAUAAAUUGUAAAUACUACUAAAAAUAAACAAUUUAUUAGACCUACUCGUAUCUUACCUACUGAUAUCUCUUAAACCUAUCUUUGGAAAUCUACCUUAAUUAUAAAGUCUAAAACUAUUUUUAACUGUCUUGUCUGACGCACCAUCUAAAAUGGAUUGCAAGGUACACUCUACUAAGUACCUCUUUGCAUUGCUUAGGACUUAAGAUAGGAAGUUGUUGGGUGCAGCAGUUGCUAAACAACUGCGCAUACUUGUAAUUAGCUGUAGUCUACCCUACAGAUAAUAUUCCGACCUCUUCAUUAAAUAAUGGUUAUCUUAUGACUUUCUCUAAAUCUUAACUUAAUGAAUCUUGUGAGUAUUAUGAGAUCUACUAAAAAUCAUAUACUCUGUACGUCAGGUUGCAAGUAAACAGACCUAAAAUGUUUAUUUUGUUAGUCAGACUCAAGAUUAGCUAGUACAGUUGAGAUAGCGGAUUUUCCUUAGGUAAAAUCCUACCGUAAAAAGGGGGAUAUGUAACGGUUAGCGUUACCGCUGAUCGUUAUCUUAGAUCUAAAUUCUAAUUCAAUUACUAUUAUCUACCUAAAUAAAUAAACUUAAAUAAUAAUAUAUCUAAAUCUACGUAAACUACCUAACUAAAUAACUUAAUUAAAUAAUUCAUAUUGUUCUACACUAAUAAAAUAAAUAAAAUAAUAAAUCUACAAGCAAACCCGCGCGAAACAAGUUGUUCAAUAUUUCUUUUGUUCUCUGUCGAGCGGGCGGACUGUUUUUUAUGCAUGCGCAAGCGACGCGCCUACGGCCGCGAUGCUCCCGCCGCGUCUCCUAGUCCGAGCCAGAGCGUUAGUGAGCACGGACGUAUCGCUGUCCGUCCCCGCCGGACCCGCGAUGUAUAUAAUAUCUUAAAAACUAAAUAUGUAAUCGCGAAUUGGUGAACCCCGCUACCGGGGUUCAUCUUCACCUUCAUCUUCUACGCCUACCUACUACACCAUGCAUGGUCACCACUGCCGAAACUACCACCUGGGUCUUCAACCCGGCAGAGCUGCCUGCCGUGUCGGACGGCCCGUGCGCACAUUCUAAGUGGCCCUACCCCACAGUGCGUACGGCCCUAACCGUCUGGCGCGUCGACGACUCUGCGGGCUUACCACCAGCGAAGAACCAACCCACAUCACCAUCGAUGCUAGCGAGGACAGUGGUUUGAAUAUACUACCACCGGUGACGAAUCUCGUGCGAUAUGAUAGUUUGCUCGACAACCCACUCCCUAAGAGUUCUCACUACUUUAAACUAAAUUGUAAUAAAUGACUUGUUAACUUAAAUCUAUCUUUUAUUUAUCUAAACUAAAUCUAAAUUCUAUUAUGUCACUGCUCCUAAAGCUCUAAC